UACGGAGGUUGCAAGCGUUGUUCGGAAUAACUGGGCGUAAAGGGAGCGCAGGCGGCCUGCUUAGUCUGAAGUGAAAUCCCGGGGCUCAACCCCGGACGUGCUUUGGAUACUGGCAGGCUUGAGUACGUGAGAGGAAAGCGGAAUUCCAGGUGUAGCGGUGAAAUGCGUAGAUAUCUGGAGGAACACCGGUGGCGAAAGCGGCUUUCUGGCACGUAACUGACGCUGAGGCUCGAAAGCGUGGGGAGCAAACGGGAUUAGAUACCCCCGUAGUCC
rnacentral:rRNA from 1 species